rnacentral:rRNA from 1 species
AGUGAACGCUGGCGGCAGGCCUAACACAUGCAAGUCGAGCGGCAGCGGGUUCCCGCGAGGGGAUGCCGGCGAGCGGCGGACGGGUGAGGAACACAUCGGAAUCUGCCUGGUUGUGGGGGAUAACGUAGGGAAACUUACGCUAAUACCGCAUGCGACCCUGAGUCGACGGACUGGGGGUGGAAAGUGAGGGACCUUCGGGCCGUCACGCGACCAGAUGAGCCGAUGUCGGA